UUGAACGCUGGCGGCAGGCCUAACACAUGCAAGUCGAGCGGAUGAAGGGAGCUUGCUCCUGGAUUCAGCGGCGGACGGGUGCGUAAUGCCUAGGAAUCUGCCUGGUAGUGGGGGAUAACGUCCGGAAACGGGCGCUAAUACCGCAUACGUCCUGAGGGAGAAAGUGGGGGAUCUUCGGACCUCACGCUAUCAGAUGAGCCUAGGUCGGAUUAGCUAGUUGGUGGGGUAAAGGCCUACCAAGGCGACGAUCCGUAACUGGUCUGAGAGGAUGAUCAGUCACACUGGAACUGAGACACGGUCCAGACUCCUACGGGAGGCAGCAGUGGGGAAUAUUGGACAAUGGGCGAAAGCCUGAUCCAGCCAUGCCGCGUGUGUGAAGAAGGUCUUCGGAUUGUAAAGCACUUUAAGUUGGGAGGAAGGGCAGUAAGUUAAUACCUUGCUGUUUUGACGGUACCAACGGAAUAAGCACCGGCUAACUUCGUG
rnacentral:rRNA from 1 species